CCUACGGGUGGCAGCAGUGAGGAAUAUUGGUCAAUGGGCGAGAGCCUGAACCAGCCAAGUCGCGUGAAGGAUGACGGCCCUACGGGUUGUAAACUUCUUUUGUCAGGGAGCAAUUGGGUCCACGCGUGUGCCUUUUUGCAUGUACUUUAUGAAUAAGGAUCGGCUAACUCCGUGCCAGCAGCCGCGGUAAUACGGAGGAUCCGAGCGUUAUCCGGAUUUAUUGGGUUUAAAGGGAGCGUAGAUGGGUUGUUAAGUCAGUUGUGAAAGUUUGCGGCUCAACCGUAAAAUUGCAAUUGAUACUGGCAGUCUUGAGUACAGUUGAGGUAGGCGGAAUUCGUGGUGUAGCGGUGAAAUGCUUAGAUAUCACGAAGAACCCCGAUUGCGAAGGCAGCUUACUAAACUGUGACUGACAUUGAUGCUCGAAAGUGUGGGUAUCAAACAGGAUUAGAUACCCCUGUAGUC
rnacentral:rRNA from 1 species